rnacentral:rRNA from 1 species
AUUGAACGCUGGCGGCAGGCCUAACACAUGCAAGUCGAGCGGAUGAAGGGAGCUUGCUCCUGGAUUCAGCGGCGGACGGGUGAGUAAUGCCUAGGAAUCUGCCUGGUAGUGGGGGAUAACGUCCGGAAACGGGCGCUAAUACCGCAUACGUCCUGAGGGAGAAAGUGGGGGAUCUUCGGACCUCACGCUAUCAGAUGAGCCUAGGUCGGAUUAGCUAGUUGGUGGGGUAAAGGCCUACCAAGGCGACGAUCCGUAACUGGUCUGAGAGGACGAUCAGGCACACUGGAACUGAGAACCGGUCCAGACUCCUACGGGGGGCAGGAGUUGGGAAUAUUUGGCAAUGGGCGAAAACCUUACCCAGCCCAGCCGCGUGUGGGAAGAAGGGUUUCGGAUUUGAAAAGCCUUUUAGUUGGGAAGAAAGGAUGUUAAAUUAAUUCUUCGCGUUUUGACGGUACCUAACAAAAAAGCCACGGCUAACUUUGUG